rnacentral:lncRNA from 1 species
CCUGAGAGUGGGGUCAUAUCUAUCCUCAUCACCACUGGGUUCCCAGUGACCAGCCCAGUCCGGAGAAGCAAGGAGAAACCACUUUUUGACUCAAUGUAUCUUAAGUGGGUAGAGUUGAGUGGAUCAGCAAGGAUGGAGAUUCGAGAGAAGCAGUGGAGUGGGAAAGAUUCUCGGAUUCUCCCAGUGCCAAAGCUGACGGGCCUCGCCCAAAGACUCUUGAGUUGAAGAGCCAGGGAAGGCAAGGGUGAAGACUUCUAACCAUGCCUGCCAGGGUGGGUACUCCGUUGGACUCCUCUUCAUUCAUCUUCCUGCCCCCCCCCC